rnacentral:rRNA from 1 species
UACAGAGGGUGCAAGCGUUAAUCGGAAUUACUGGGCGUAAAGCGUGCGUAGACGGUAGCGUAAGUCGGGUGUGAAAGCCCCGGGCUCAACCUGGGAAUGGCAUUCGAGACUGCUCUGCUAGGGUGCGGAAGAGGGGAGCGGAAUUUCCGGUGUAGCGGUGAAAUGCGUAGAUAUCGGAAGGAACACCAGUGGCGAAAGCGGCUCCCUGGUCCAGCACCGACGUCAGGCACGAAAGCGUGGGGGAGCAAACAGG